CUUAGUGAGGCGUCCGGACUGGCCCAGAGAGGUGGGCAACUACUUCCCAGGGCCGGAAAGCUCUCCAAACUCGGUCAUUUAGAGGAAGUAAAAGUCGUAACAAGGUCUCCGUUGGUGAACCAGCGGAGGGAUCAUUACCGAGUUUACAACUCCCAAACCCCUGUGAACAUACCUAUUUGUUGCCUCGGCGGUGCCUGUUCCGACAGCCCGCCAGAGGACCCCAAACCCUGAUUACAUUUAAGAAGUCUUCUGAGUAAACCGAUUAAAUAAAUCAAAACUUUCAACAACGGAUCUCUUGGUUCUGGCAUCGAUGAAGAACGCAGCGAAAUGCGGUAAGUAAUGUGAAUUGCAGAAUUCAGUGAAUCAUCGAAUCUUUGAACGCACAUUGCGCCCGCUAGUAUUCUGGCGGGCAUGCCUGUCCGAGCGUCAUUUCAACCCUCAAGCCCCCGGGCUUGGUGUUGGGGAUCGGCGAGCCUCCGCGCCCGCCGUCCCCUAAAUCUAGUGGCGGUCUCGCUGUAGCUUCCUCUGCGUAGUAGCACACCUCGCACUGGGAAACAGCGCGGCCACGCCGUUAAACCCCCAACUUCUGAACGUUUGACCUCGGAUCAGGUAGGAAUACCCGCUGAACUUAAGCAUAUCAAUAAGCGGAGGAAAAGAAACCAACAGGGAUUGCCCCAGUAACGGCGAGUGAAGCGGCAACAGCUCAAAUUUGAAAUCUGGCUCCUUCGGAGUCCGAGUUGUAAUUUGUAGAGGGUGCUUCGGCUUACGACGCGGUCUAAGUUCCUUGGAACAGGACG
rnacentral:rRNA from 1 species